GCAGAGAGCCCCCCACACCACCACACCCCGUCCUCAGAGCAUCCUCCCUGUCACGGCCAAAGCUGCUCCCCUUCUGUGGGCACCACGGCCCCACCGUGCUGCUGCCAGGAAGCAGAAACCCAGGCGUCUGAGUUCCUGGGGUUGAGCAGUCUUCCUUCCAGCCUCUUACCUUAAUAACUACGAUACAGGCCUUGCCAGGAAAGGUAGAGGCAGGGUUUGAACCCAGACCUGGUUACAGGCAUAGACAGCCAUAAAUCAGUGUGAGCUAAGAAUAACUAGGGGGUUACCAGAGCCAAUGCUCAGGCCCACAGGAAGAAGUGGGGGCGAGUCAGCUAGCCAGGCCCACUCAGAGGCGCUUCCCCCAGCUUCUUAGCCAUCCCCAGGGAAUCCCACAAAGUCUUCUCAUCUAGUAAUCAGAUUUGCAAAGCAGUGGGCAGGGCAAUGUCACUCUUAGGAAACUUGCUUGAGCUUUUCAGCAGCUGUGGCCACAUGGGGAGGUCAAGUGUCUAGAGAAGGUGCUGUAGGGGGGUUGUGUCCCCCAGACCUCAAUGAGGAGGCAGAGCAGACCGGAUCUGGGGUCGCCCUGGAGAAGGAGAGAAGCCCGGAGCAGACAAGGCAAAGCUGGUCUGGAUCCAGGGGGUACUAUUGAUACCUCAGGUAUCUGGAAGGGUGGGCAGUGGGUUGGGACAACAGAAAUCCCAGGGGGAGCUCAUGCCUGCCAGACUGUGAGUAUUGGCUCCUGUUAGAAUUGACGCUAAAGCCCAGGCACCCAGGGUGGGAGACUGCAGCUGGGCGGGCAGGUGGCUGGGCAGGCCCCACCCACUGGCAGGGACGGAUCUGAGGAUGACAUCUGCUGGUCCUACCCCCAAGGGUGACAGGACCUGGCAAGGACAGACAGGAGAGAGCAGUGUCAUCUGAUAAAGAUGUCUUUAAAACAAAAAAUUCAAAAGAUGACUCUCGUGUAGGUAAAAAGAUGUUCAGACAAAUUAAAUAUGCUUAGGCCAAAUGCAUAGGUUAGAAUCCCAGCUCCGCUACCUAAAACAUUGUGACCUGGGGCAAGUGUCCUGGCUGCCAUGGGCUGAAUGGUGUCCCCUAAAAAUACUUGUCCACACACUAACCCUUAGAACUUGCGAAUGUGACUUUAUUUGGAGAAAGUCUUUGCAGGCCCUCCAUCCAGUGACAAAGGGUCCCUACAAGAGACACUCAGAGGAGAGAGGCAUGCACGGAGGUGAAGCCGUGUGAAGACAGAGGCAGAGACUGGGGUGAUGGCAGCCACAAGCCAAGAAACACUGGGAGCCACGAGAAGCUGGCAAAGGAGAGUGUUGGAAGGCAGCUCAGCUCUGCAGGCACCUCGAUCUUGGACUUCUGGACCCCAGAUCGACAAUUGCCAGGCACUGGGGCAGGAAGAAGCAAGAGGAGCCCAGAGCGUAGGCUCUACCUUGGCGAGCGCACGGCCCAGAGGUCCUUUUGGGGAGAAGUGGCCCAGUGUGGGGGAAGAAGGAAGAUGACAAGUGAGGGAGAACCAGACAGAGGAGAGGCCUCAGAAGCUCUCACGGGCUGCUUCGGAGCAGUUGGAGGGAAACAGUUGGAGGAAGCUCCCUUUGGGGGCCUUGUCCAGGGACAAGGUUUCCAGGCAGACUGAGGCUGUGUCUGGUGCCCUCUGCAGCCCCUGGCCCACAGGAGGGACCCAGCAAAUGUUGGCUUGUGACAUGUCAGGGCAGGACCUGUGUUAUGAGAAGUACCAAAGUGCCACCCAAGCUGGGCCUGGGAAUGAGUUUAAAAAGCAGACCAGGCUGCCCAUGCCUCUUGGACUGCGUGGGGAGUGAGGGGGGAGAGAGACAUGGGAGAGCCCGGCGCUGCGUGCUGGGAGGCCCCGCUACUCAUCCGAGACAUUUUGGAGGAGCAGCCCCUCUGCAAGCCUAUCGUGUUCCUAAGCCAGCGAUGGAUUGUUUUCAUUUCAUUCAGAAUAGCAAGACUAAACUGGAUCCAAUUUCUGAUCAGUGUCAUUUCUCAGGCUUGCUCAGAAAAGACAAAAUCCAUUAAACUGCCCCCCUACUCCCCUAUGAGAGGCACUGAGCUCCCCGUGGCAGCGAGAUGGGAGCUCUUGAGGGUAAAGACUCAUUUUCUGUGGAUCAGUGGCUGGCUUAUUGUAGGUGCUUAAUAAAUAUUCAAUCAUAACAAUCUUAA